rnacentral:tRNA from 1 species
AUGGAUAUAGCUCAGUGGUAGAGCGCAUGCUUAGCAUGCGUGAGGUCCUGGGUUCAAUCCCCAGUACCUCUU